GGGUGCUGGAAGAAGGACUUGUGUCUUGCGCAGCAUAGUCCUUUGACAACAUUUCUAUAUAGAUACAAAAUAGUAUACGCAGAGGUAUCCUGUUUCCUGUAUCCUGCUUCUAUUCGAAACGAACAGAUACUUAAAAUCAUUGUUUAUGUUGCAGUCUACUUAGGGUCACAUUAAAAUAAUGUCAAUUUUAUUGAAAAUUAACGUCGGUAAAAUAGAGGUAUUUGUAACUUAUGUGACGACGUAAGGGGGGUGUUCAUAGUAGUGUGUAGCUACGUAUACACAAAUUAUCACAAUAUCAAUGCGCCCGAAUUGUUAAAAAAAUCAUUUAACAGGACAUACAGUAUUUUGUGACACAUAAACGACUUUUUUUAAGUAAUUAUUACGUGGUUGGUCUUUUACAUUUAGAAACAAUCACUUAAUUAAGCCUGUCGGUAAAUUAUAACCAAGCCUAUCACAUAUUUUAUACCUUAGCAUAUGUAUAUACUAGCUUUUGCAAAAAAAAAGAGACUAUUUUUUCUAAGUCCAUGCACUUUAAUCCCCUAACCUAUGGUCCAUUGCAU
rnacentral:lncRNA from 1 species